CUACGUGCCAGCAGCCGCGGUAAUACGGAAGGUCCAGGCGUUAUCCGGAUUUAUUGGGUUUAAAGGGAGCGUAGGCUGGAGAUUAAGUGUGUUGUGAAAUGUAGACGCUCAACGUCUGAAUUGCAGCGCAUACUGGUUUCCUUGAGUACGCACAACGUUGGCGGAAUUCGUCGUGUAGCGGUGAAAUGCUUAGAUAUGACGAAGAACUCCGAUUGCGAAGGCAGCUGACGGGAGCGCAACUGACGCUUAAGCUCGAAGGUGCGGGUAUCAAACAGGAUUAGAUACCCUGGUAGUCCACACAGUAAACGAUGUAUACUCGCGGUUUGCGAUAGACAGUAAGCCGCCAAGCGAAAGCAUUAAGUAUACCACCUGGGGAGUACGCCGGCAACGGUGAAACUCAAAGGAAUUGACGGGGGCCCGCACAAGCGGAGGAACAUGUGGUUUAAUUCGAUGAUACGCGAGGAACCUUACCCGGGCUUGAA
rnacentral:rRNA from 1 species